AGUCGAGAAUUUUUCUCAAUGGGCGAAAGCCUGAAGGAGCGACGCCGCGUGGGGGAUGAAUGGCUUCGGCCCGUAAACCCCUGUCAUUUGCGAACAAAUUAUUUCACUUAACAUGUGAAGUAUUGAUUGUAGCGGAAGAGGAAGGGACGGCUAACUCUGUGCCAGCAGCCGCGGUAAUACAGAGGUCCCAAGCGUUGUUCGGAUUCACUGGGCGUAAAGGGUGCGUAGGUGGUCGGGUAAGUCUGGCGUGAAAUCUCCAAGCCUAACUUGGAAACUGCGUUGGAUACUAUCCGGCUCGAGGAAUGGAGGGGAGACUGGAAUACUUGGUGUAGCAGUGAAAUGCGUAGAUAUCAAGUGGAACACCAGUGGCGAAGGCGAGUCUCUGGACAUUUCCUGACGCUGAGGCACGAAAGCCAGGGGAGCAAA
rnacentral:rRNA from 1 species